GCUUCCACUAGAUGUCAACGAUCUUUAUAAAGUUGUUUGAAGCGUCUAUGAUAAACAGAGAGCAAAUUAGAAUCCAAGGAAGUUGACAUGUCAUCACUUCAUUUUUUUGCGCCUGCGCAUAAAUCUGAGAAACGUGAGUUUGUCAUCAUUUUUUAUCUAGAAAUAGGAUAGGUUGUGUGAAAAUAUUACUGAUGUUUAACGUUAAAAAUGGACCAAAAGAUUAAUGCUAAACAACAUUUGACAUGUUUGAACGAACAUAAAUAGAUUAUUUACUAGGUUUUUUUAGCUUUUCGGCGUGAUUUUACCAGCCCCCCCAACCACGUUUUGUGGGAGCAUAAUGAACGCUAAGUACUUGGUGUUAUUUGGACAUAAAUUAUGAACUUUGUCAAAAGAAACCACAUUUGUUCCGGACCUGGAAUGCCUUCCGGACCUGGGAUCCUGCCUUCUGAUGGAGAUAAUCAAAGUCCGGGUGGCUUAGAUCAUGUGCUAACAAGACGGAGAUUUUUGGACAUAAAUGAUGAG
rnacentral:lncRNA from 1 species